rnacentral:rRNA from 1 species
AUACGGAGAGUGCAAGCGUUGUUCGGAAUUACUGGGCUUAAAGAGCAUGUAGGCGGGAUGUCAAGUGUCGGGUGAAAACCCCAGGCUCAACCUGGGAACUGCCCGGCAAACUGGCAUUCUUGAGGUAGGUAGAGGUGACUGGAACAACUGGUGGAGCGGUGAAAUGCGUAGAUAUCGGAAGGAACACCAGUGGCGAAGGCGACUUCCUGGGCCAAUACUGACGCUGAGGUGCGAAAGCGUGGGGAGCAAACAGGAUUAGAAACCCCAGUAGUCC